rnacentral:lncRNA from 1 species
AGAUAUUAUUAUUAUUAUAUGCAACCUGAUAGUCUUUUAAAAUAUCUUUUAUCUCAUCUUUUUCCUCAGCUUUAUUUUUUUAUUUUUAUUAUUUUUUUUUUGAGAAAGAGGUAGCGAGCUAUCUGUUUCAUUCAUUAAGCAAAAUGAACUAAACGUACAUAAUGGAAGCAGCUAAGGCGUCAUAAGAAGCAGCAAAAAGAAGGAAAUGAACAAGAAAGAAAAAAUAGAGAAAUACAAAAAUGAGAGAACAGAUAGAGAAAUACAAAAGUGAGAGAACAGGAAAAGAAAGAAAGUUUCAAAU